rnacentral:rRNA from 1 species
AUUGAACGCUAGCGGUAUGCUUAACACAUGCAAGUCGAACGGCAGCACGAGGAGCUUGCUCCUUGGUGGCGAGUGGCGGACGGGUGAGUAAUGCGUAGGAAUCUACCUUAUAGUGGGGGAUAACCCGGGGAAACUCGGGCUAAUACCGCAUAAUCUCUAAGGAGCAAAGCAGGGGACCUUCGGGCUUUGCGCUGUAAGAUGAGCCUACGUCGGAUUAGCUAGUGGGUAGGGUAAUGGCCUACCAAGGCGACGAACCGUAGCUGGACUGAGAGGACGAUCAGCCACACUGGGACUGAGACACGGCCCAGACUCCUACGGGAGGCAGCAGUGGGGAAUAUUGGACAAUGGGGGAAACCCUGAUCCAGCAAUACCGCGUGUGUGAAGAAGGCCUUCGGGUUGUAAAGCACUUUCAGCGGGGAAGAAAAAGCCAAGGAUAAUACUCUUGGAAAUUGACGUUACCCGAAGAAGAAGCACCGGCUAACUCUGUGCCAGCAGCCGCGGUAA